ACUUUUCUGUCCCUUCGGAGUAUUCGAAAAAAUUGAAACGAUAUAAAGAAGUAUAGCCUAUGCGUAAGGAUGACACACACAAAUUUAAAAAUAGGCUAAUUUUUU